CAUUUAAAAAGUGAGACUGCGGACGGCUCAGUAAAUCGGUUAUAAUCUGUUCGAAAGUUAAUUCCAUUGGAUAACCGUGGGAAAUCUAGAGCUAAUACAUGUAUACAGUAGUCUCGUACUACGUGCAGUUAUUAGUUAAAACCAAAUGGUGUAGCAUGAUGAAUGUUACACUAAGGUGAUUCUAGAUAACUUGGCAGAUUGCAUAGCCUUGAGCUGGCAAUGUUUCGAUUGAAUUUCCGCCCUAUCAACUGUGAUGGUAAGGUAGAGGCUUACCAUGGUUGCAACGGGUAACGGGGAAUCAGGGUUCGAUUCCGGAGAGGGAGCCUGAGAAACGGCUACCACAUCCAAGGGAGGCAGCAGGCGCGCAAAUUACCCAAUCCAGACAAUGGGAGGUGGUAACGAGAAGUACUGAGUGGUAGACAAUGUCUACUAAUCUCAGAAUGAGCAUAAAGUAAACAUGUAGUCGAGUAACGACUGGAGGGCAAGUCUGGUGCCAGCAGCCGCGGUAAUUCCAGCUCCAGUAGCAUGUCGUAAAGUUGUUGCGUUUAAAACGCUCGUAGUCGGAUCAUGCAGUGUCAAUAAGUUGGUUUACGUAUGGGGGCAAACAUACUGUAUGUGAUGAUUAUAUAUCAUUGAUUUGAUAUUAAUCAUGACAUGUAGUGCUAUCAACGUAAACUAUGUGCUUAUUGGCAUUAAUUUCAUGUAAGAAUGAUGGUUAGCCUUUAGUGCGUUGACCAUCGUGUCUUACAGAGUGUGCCUUGAAUAAAUCAUAGUGCUUAAAGCAGGCUUGUGCCUGAAUGAUAGAGCAUGGAACGAACAAACGUGUACGUGAUGUAACAUUAUGGGCCUUUAAACUUGUAAUGUUAUCAUCAUAUCACCAACCACCAUGUACGGAUGUUGGUUUCCGUAUUGGGGUGAUGAUUAAAACGAGCGGUUGGGGGCAUUGGUAUUUGGCCGCGAGAGGUGAAAUUCUUAGACCGGCCAAGGACUAACAAAAGCGAAGGCAUUUGCCAAGACCGUCUCGAUUGAUCAAGAACGAAAGAGAGGGUUUCGAAGAUGAUCAGAUACCGUCCUAGUCCUCUCUGUAAACUAUGCCAACCCGGGAUCAGUUUAGAGCAAUGUCAACGCUCGAGGUUGGUCCCCCUGGGAAACCUAAAGUUUUUGGGUUACGGGGGGAGUAUGGUCGCAAGGCUGAAACUUAAAGGAAUUGACGGAAGGGCACCACCAGGGGUGGAGCCUGCGGCUUAAUUUGACUCAACACGGGACAACUCACUCGGCCAGAACGUCGAAAGGAUUGCCAGACUAAUAGAUCUUGCAUGAUACGAUGUGUGGUGGUGCAUGGCCGUUCUUAGUUCGUGAUGUGAAUUGUCAGGUUGAUUCCGGUAACGAACGAGAUCCCAUUCUUUAUUUACCAUGUGGAAUAGAAGUGGUAAUAACUACUUUUCUGAAUCACUACUCAUUGAACAUGAUCUUCGGUGAUUGUACUAAGAGUAGUGUUCAAUCUUCCACAUAACUGUACAUAGCAAUAUGUGCAGUUGCAUAAAGAGACAACUGAAUAUAUAUAAAAUCAGCGGAAGCAGGGACAAUAACAGGUCUGUAAUGCCCUUAGAUGUUCGAGGCUGCACGCGGGCUACAAUGACGGUAACAAUGAGAUAUCUGGUUCGAAAGAACUGGGAAAUCUGUCAAUUACCGAUCAUGAUGGGGAUUGCUCAUUGUAAUUUGGGCAUGAAAUAGGAAUCCCUUGUACGUGCACUUCAUCAGAGUGUGUGGAAUGAGUCCCUGCCCUUUGUACACACCGCCCGUCGCUACUACCGAGUGAAUCGUUUCAUGAUACGUUGGGAGUCGACCUCG
rnacentral:rRNA from 1 species